rnacentral:ncRNA from 1 species
GAAGUAGAAGGAACUCGGCAAGACUUUAAACCCCACCUGUUUACCAAAAACAUCACCUUAGCAUAACCAAUAUUAGAGGCACUGCCUGCCCAGUGAUAUAUUAAACGGCCGCGGUAUCCUGACCGUGCAAAGGUAGCAUAAUCACUUGUUCUCUAAAUAAGGACUAGUAUGAAUGGCCACACGAGGGUUUUACUGUCUCCUACUUCCAAUCAGUGAAAUUGACAUCUCCGUGAAGAGGCGGAGAUAUCUUAAUAAGACGAGAAGACGCUAUGGAGCUUCAAUUUAACUACUCAACCAGUACUAAAACGACCUACUAGGACUAAUAUCCAACUGGAUAUGAGCUGUAAAUUUCGGUUGGGGUGACCUCGGAGCACAAACAAACCUCCGAAUGAUAAUAACUAAGACUUUAACAGUCUAAGCAAAAAUCAUUUAUUGACCCAAACUUACUUUGAGCAAUGGAACAAGUUACCCUAGGGAUAACAGCGCAAUCCUAUUACAGAGUCCAUAUCGACAAUAGGGUUUACGACCUCGAUGUUGGAUCAGGAUAUCCCAAUGGUGCAACCGCUAUUAACGGUUUGUUUGUUCAACGAUUAAAAUCCUACGUGAUCUGAGUUCAGACCGGAGUAAUACCGGUCGGUUUCUAUCUAUUUACUAUCUUUCCCAG